rnacentral:rRNA from 1 species
UACGUAGGGUGCGAGCGUUAAUCGGAAUUACUGGGCGUAAAGUGUGCGCAGGUGGCCGCGCAAGUCGAGUGUGAAAUCCCCGAGCUUAACUUGGGAAUUGCGCUCGAAACUACGUGGCUCGAGUGUGGCAGAGGAAGGUGGAAUUCCACGUGUAGCGGUGAAAUGCGUAGAGAUGUGGAGGAACACCGAUGGCGAAGGCAGCCUUCUGGGCCAACACAGACGCUCAUGCACGAAAGCGUGGGGAGCAAACAGG